rnacentral:rRNA from 1 species
AUGGCGGAAUCCGACCAAGUUAACGGGAUGUCCUCGGUCGACGAAUUCUGUAAGGCGCUUGGGGGCGACUUGCCGAUCCGCAGCGUGCUGGUUGCCAACAAUGGGAUGGCUGCCGUCAAGUUCAUGCGCAGCAUCCGCCCCUGGGCCUUGGAGACCUUUGGGACCGAGAAGGCCAUCCUUUUGGUGACCAUGGCGACCCCAGAGGACGAGGACCUCAGGGUCAAUGCCGAGCACAUAAGGAUCGCCGACCAGUUCCUGGAAGUCCCCGCUGGGACAAAUAAUAACAACUAUGCAAAUGUACAGCUCAUAGUUGAGCUCCUGGGACGCGAGGUUUAUAGCUCUCAGUUGCAACUGGGUGGCCCCAAAAUCAUGGCUGCAAAUGGAGUUGCCCAUCUCACAGUGUCAGAUGAUCUUGAAGGUGUUUCUGCUAUCUUGAAAUGGCUCAGCUAUGUACCUCAGUAUGUCGGCGGUCCUCUUCCUGUUCUGAAACCUCUUGAUCCACCGGAGAGACCUGUAACAUAUUUGCCGGAGAAUUUAUGUGAUGCCCGUGCAGCCAUCUGA